UUGGAGGGCAAGUCUGGUGCCAGCAGCCGCGGUAAUUCCAGCUCCAAUAGCGUAUAUUAAAGUUGUUGCAGUUAAAAAGCUCGUAGUUGAAUUUCGGGAUCAUCAGGUUGGUCGUGCCAUUGGUAUGUACUAGCUUUGGUGGUUCCUACCUCUUGAAGAACCGUAAUGUCAUUAACUUGGUGUUGCGGGGAAUCAGGACUGUUACUUUGAAAAAAUUAGAGUGUUUAA
rnacentral:rRNA from 1 species